rnacentral:lncRNA from 1 species
CGCAAACAUUAAAACAAUACAAAUAGACAUAUUACUGGAAUUACAACACAAGAGUCAAGAUAAAAAUAUAGAUCUCGAAUCAAAACUAAGAAUUAAAUAAUUUUGUCAUCCAUCCAAUUCAUUAAAUUAUUUAGCCUAACAUAAUAUUGGGAUUAAACAAAGAAAAGUGGAAGGACAUCUCCGAGAAAUUGCUGAAACGCGAUUAAUUUCCAAAUUAUUUGCACAAUUGAGGAAUAACUGCACAAAAAUUCAGCCAACUUUUCUAUGUUUUCUGCUUCAAUUCCAGCGUGUGUUUGUUGUGUAUAUAUAUAUAUAUAAAAUUCAGCCGCCUUGUGUAAUGUAUGAUCAAUCCCCAUGGCAGCCUUUUUCACUCCAAAUACAGCCGUUUUCUGUGAGUUUUCUUCUUUUUUAUUCUUCAAAAUCAGCCCCUUUUUCCUUGCCUUCUUUCCUAGCAGCUUUGCCUUUUUUUUUUAAUCUAUUUGAAACCAAUUCCCAAAGUAGGCUCCCACUUUCUGCGCAUAAAAACAUAUAUAGCAGCCAACUACCUUGUUUUGCUCCAAAAAGAAUUCAAUUGCUCAUGAAAUUAGCUUCCUGUGUAUUUAUAUAAUUCUCCACCCAGUUGCUAUGUUUGAUUCCCCAACGAACUCUAUCUUUUGCCUCCUUUAUGUGUCCUUGCAGCCGCCGUUUUCUGUAAGUUAAUCUCCCCAGUUUUCGUCUCUUUUUGUAUGUAGAAGAAAAGAAACUCCUUCAGCUCCUUCAAAGUGCUGCCCAAUUAUUUUCCCUAUGUUUCCCCAAGCUGCUUUCUUUUGUUGACUCAUAAAAGAAGACAAUUUUUUUCUGGGUUAUUUUCCAACUUUGUUUCCCCGCAGCUUGGCAGCCGUCCCCCUUUCUAUAUAAUUCCCAUAUGUAUUCUCU